rnacentral:rRNA from 1 species
UACGUAGGGGGCAAGCGUUGUCCGGAAUCAUUGGGCGUAAAGCGCGCGCAGGCGGUUUCUUAAGUCUGAUGUGAAAGCCCACGGCUUAACCGUGGAAGGUCAUUGGAAACUGGGAGACUUGAGUGCAGAAGAGAAGAGCGGAAUUCCACGUGUAGCGGUGAAAUGCGUAGAGAUGUGGAGGAACACCAGUGGCGAAGGCGGCUCUUUGGUCUGUAACUGACGCUGAGGCGCGAAAGCGUGGGGAUCAAACAGG